UAUUAAUUGAUUUUUUGCAUUUUGUUUUCUACAAGUUUCAGCAUUUUUGCUGCUGUGCUUUUAGCAAUCCGUUUGAGGGUUUCAAUUUGGGCAACUCUUGGUCACACGUUGAACAGUGAUGAAGUAGUCGUUUUCUUUGAAGCAUUUCAUGUGUUUCUUAUCUUCCUCAAUUCGAUUCUGGGUGCCAUAAUUGGUAUACACUUUCAAGCCUUGAACAUCUCUCCACUUGAAACACAUCUUGGCUCGUUUGUCUGGUUUCUGGAAUUCUUUCUGUUGAGCUACUUGUCACAUUAAUCGUUUCUCCCGUUUGGUUAUUAAUGGUUAAUUUAUGUCCAAUUCUGAUCAUUGGAGUACUGCGUCAUUGGUACCAAGGAAUUUAUCAGGGUCUCUAUGACACAGCUGAUAUGGUACUCAAGGCAGUACAUAUCUUGUAUAACAAGAUUUAUGGAUUACUUUAUUGGAUGUAUGGGCGGCUCCUACAGAUAUCCCAAUCAGGAGCUUCUAAUGCAAUUUCUUCAAGGGAAGGAGACAUUGAGAUGCAGCUGGCAUUAAUUGUGGGUUAAGUGGCCUGAUAUUGUCAACUGCCUACAAAGUAAGCAAAAUUUUCACUGACGCAAUUUUCCUUGAGGAAGUUUGAAUUAUUUUCACUUUGUUCAAAGUAAGGUUAAUUAUAUUAAUUUCAACAUAUGUUUUUAUACUUUACUAAUGAUCUCACAUCCAACUGCUUAGAUAAUAAAAUUUGCAAUGCAAUUUUUAAAAUUUUCAGCAACUAGAUUAAAGGUUAAAAGGUAUUGGGAAAGCUAGAUUUCCAUUCUUUUUAAACCAGAUAGAAGCCAGAACAUUAGGACAGCGCAUCUGACCCAACCACGGCAGCCAUAAUAGAAUACUACAAAUAGGAAACACAGUUGCCCUAGCUUAGAACAAAAAACAUGCAUAUAUAGUCAUGGUGCUACUUUAUGGACCCUUAUAACUGAUGUUUACAAACUUUGUGGCUACUAAAUAGGAUCACAAUGCUUGUGAUUCCUUUCCUGUGUAGUAGUCAUAGCUGGUCUAAGAGUUAAAACUGAUUGCAAUAUCCUUUUUGUGUUGCAUUCCCAAGAGUGGCUAUUGCUUUAUCUGUGUUUGCACACGAGCAGUAGCCCUCGAUAUGGUUCUUUUGGAUACUGCUCUAUGUAGUGUCAAAAUGACUUGCCACUACAGCACUUACCAAUUCUGGAUCCUUUCUCUGCUAACACCAGCAUUGCAUUGUGACUGUAUAUCCUCAUCACAUUUAUUGUGGUGCUCCAGUAUUGCUGAUAAAAUAACGUCUGAAAUCUAUCUAGAUUAUCGUCCUUUAAAACA